rnacentral:rRNA from 1 species
AUAGUAAUCUGCUCAUGAACUUUAUAUAGCCGCAAUUUUAUUGUGCUAAGGUAGCAUAAUCACUUGUCUUUUAAUUAAAGACUAGAAUGAAAGAUUUAACAUUUAAAUUAUUAUUUUUAAUUUAAUUUUUUAAAUUAUUUUAAAUAUAAAAAAAUAUUUAUUAUUAAAAAAGACAACAAGACCCUAUUAAACUUUACUAAAGUUUAACUGGGGCAGUUACUUAAUUAUUAUUUUAAUUAUAAAUAUUUAUAAUUUUCUAAUAUUAUUAAAUUAAAUAAGUUACUAUAGGGAUAACAGCGUAAUAAUUUUUUAAAGAUCUUAUUAAAAAAAUAGAUUACGACCUCGAUGUUGAAUUAAUUAUCCUAAUAAAUGCAAUUACUUUUAUAGAAAGUCUGUUCGACUUUUAAACAAUUACAUGAUCUGAGUCAAAACCCGGAGA